rnacentral:rRNA from 1 species
GCUUACGGCCACACCUCCCUGAGCACGCCGAUCUCGUCUGAUCUCGGAAGCUAAGCAGGGUCGGCCCGGUUAGUACUUGGAGGGGAGACCGCCUGGGAAUACCAGGUGCUGUAAGCC